rnacentral:rRNA from 1 species
UACAGAGGUCCCGAGCGUUGUUCGGAUUCCUUGGGCGUAAAGGGUGCGUAGGCGGCGGAGCAAGUCUGAUGUGAAAUCCCGGGGCUCAACCCCGGAACUGCAUUGGAUACUGCUUUGCUAGAGUACUGGAGAGGGAACUGGAAUUUACGGUGUAGCAGUGAAGUGCGUAGAGAUCGUAAGGAAGGCCAGUGGCGAAGGCGAGUUCCUGGACAGUUACUGACGCUGAGGCACGAAGGCCAGGGGAGCAAACGGG